rnacentral:rRNA from 1 species
GACGAACGCUGGCGGCGUGCUUAACACAUGCAAGUCGAACGGAAAGGCCCUGCUUUUGUGGGGUGCUCGAGUGGCGAACGGGUGAGUAACACGUGAGUAACCUGCCCUUGACUUUGGGAUAACUUCAGGAAACUGGGGCUAAUACCGGAUAGGAGCUCCUGCUGCAUGGUGGGGGUUGGAAAGUUUCGGCGGUUGGGGAUGGACUCGCGGCUUAUCAGCUUGUUGGUGGGGUAGUGGCUUACCAAGGCUUUGACGGGUAGCCGGCCUGAGAGGGUGACCGGCCACAUUGGGACUGAGAUACGGCCCAGACUCCGACGGGAGGCAGCAGUGGGGAAUAGUGCACAAUGGGCGGAAGCCUGAUGCAGCAACGCCGCGUGCGGGAUGACGGCCUUCGGGUUGUAAACCGCUUUCGCCUGUGACGAAGCGGGAGUGACGGUAAUGGGUAAAGAAGCACCGGCUAACUACGUG